AAGCUGCACUUUUUAACCACUGCUCUUCCCCUGAGGCCAUUAUCUCCUGUCUUAAUCGGCUCAGCCACUGCCCAGCGUCUUCUGCCUCGCGGAGAUGGAUCGGCCCAGUUCCGUCUGCAGCUGGCCGGCACGGGGAUGAUGCGCCUGGCGGGUCCAGCCGUCGUAGAUGGCCGCUCCUCUCGGGACAUCUCUUGACCCAUCUCUUUGAAGCGUCCCCCGUGGGAGCGUGUCACAGAUCCCCUUCAAUCUGUUACCAGAUGGAGCUGGUAGCUCCUUAGCUCAGCCCCCAGCCCCUGGGUCCUCAAAGUCCCCAGGGUGGGACCCCGCAGGAGAACUGGAGUGGGGGACGGAGACACUUCCGCUAGCUUUGGAGCUUGGCUGGGUGCCGCGGGGCUCCCUCCUCCUGCUCUCAGAAGAGACUCUAAAUCCUCUGGCUUUUUUUUUUUUUUUUUUAAAUCAGGGCUGCAUCAUGGGUCAGCAGCAGUGGCUGCCCCAGGGAGGAGCCGCUCAAAGCCGCUGAAUUCAGCAGUUAUUUGUGGGCAUCACCGAAUGGCCCUAGCCCUGGUCUCAGGAGAACAGGAGUUAGUUGCUCUUGCCCCUGUUUGCAUGCUGGAUGAGGCCACAGACUGCCAGCUGCCUGCCCAUGCUCUCUAGAAGGUCUGGAGCGAAGGCUAACGGUCACAUCCAACCACCACCGCCAGACAGCACCCCUUCCACAGGCAGUACCUGGGAAAGCAAAAUGUGGACACCCCCCAAGGCUUACACCUCCAGGAUGCGCAACUCCCCUCUUGCUUAGCCGGCAAACCUACUUCAAGAAUGUGGCUUCCCAGCGGGCCCAACCAACAUUACCUUCGAGAUGACUAUAAUACACGCCAAGUGAAACCCAUGUCUGAACACAAAAAUCAAAACCACGAAGAAAAUAGACCACGAACGCAGCAAGGAUGGUUAAGGGUGUACUGUAGUGGGAAUGCUGGCCGAGCAUGGACAAUAUUCUGGGUUCCAUCCCAGAACUGCAAAACGCAAUACAGAAACAAAUUAAAAAACAACAACAAAAAACCAGCAGGGAGCUCCAAAUACUGAGUCAACAAUAUUCCACCAUGACAGACCCUUCCUGCCUUCCUGAUUUCUAUUGCGAGAGGUGAUAUGAGGUAGUGACCAAGAUUAGAAACCAGACCAAUCAAGUUCCCAAUAGAUACGACUGAAAACCCAUUCCCUUAUCACCUGAGUCUGUCUGAGAACCCACCCCCACAUCCUGAGAGUUCAUUGAGAACCCACUUGCAUAACCUGAGCCUGCAGCUCCAAAUGAACACCAUUCUGCUCCAGGAAAACAACGGACGCCCUCACUAAAUGGGGCUAUCUCAAAGCAAUGAAGGCACAAAGUCCCAGAUAAGAAGAGUUAGAAAAUUCACUUAAGCACUAACCGUGAAAUGGUCUACCAUUCCAGAAGACUGCCUUAAGAAAUGCCGUGGCUGGAGAGAUGGCUCAGGGGUUAAGUGUACCUGCUGCUCUUGCCGAGGACCCCGUUCGGUUCCCUACACCUACACUACAAGGCGGCUCUUAACUGCCUGUAACGCCAGUUCCAGGGGAUCUGAUGUCCUCUUAUGACUUCAUAGGCACCAAACCCACAUGGUGCACAGAUAUACAUGCAGACAAAACACCAUAUACAUAAGAUAAAAUAAUAAAGCUUUUAAUUAAAAGAAAUUUAAAAAAAGAAAUAUCUUAGAUUUGGGAAGAACCUUCUAGCCCAUUGUCUAAAAUAACAGAUCUCUGAAGUCAACUAAAUGUGUUAAAUUUUCUGUUUAUAAGAAAAUGGAUAGGGGCCAGGCGGUGGUGGCACAUGCC